rnacentral:rRNA from 1 species
GUGCCUAAUACAUGCAAGUCGAACGCACAGCGAAAGGUGCUUGCACCUUUCAAGUGAGUGGCGAACGGGUGAGUAACACGUGGACAACCUGCCUCAAGGCUGGGGAUAACAUUUGGAAACAGAUGCUAAUACCGAAUAAAACUUAGUGUCGCAUGACACAAAGUUAAAAGGCGCUUCGGCGUCACCUAGAGAUGGAUCCGCGGUGCAUUAGUUAGUUGGUGGGGUAAAGGCCUACCAAGACAAUGAUGCAUAGCCGAGUUGAGAGACUGAUCGGCCACAUUGGGACUGAGACACGGCCCAAACUCCUACGGGAGGCUGCAGUAGGGAAUCUUCCACAAUGGGCGAAAGCCUGAUGGAGCAACGCUGUUUUGUGUGAUGAAGGCUUUCGGGUCGUAAAGCACUGUUGUAUGGGAAGAACAGCUAGAAUAGGAAAUGAUUUUAGUUUGACGGUACCAUACCAGAAAGGGACGGGCUAAAUACGUGCCAGCAGCCGCCGGUAAUACGUAUGUCCCGAGCGUUAUCCGGAUUUAUUUGGGCGUAAAGCGAGCGCAGACGGUUUAUUAAGUCUGAUGUGAAAGCCCGGAGCUCAACUCCGGAAUGGCAUUGGAAACUGGUUAACUUGAGUGCAGUAGAGGUAAGUGGAACUCCAUGUGUAGCGGUGGAAUGCGUAGAUAUAUGGAAGAACACCAGUGGCGAAGGCGGCUUACUGGACUGCAACUGACGUUGAGGCUCGAAAGUGUGGGUAGCAAACAGGAUUAGAUACCCUGGUAGUCCACACCGUAAACGAUGAACACUAGGUGUUAGGAGGUUUCCGCCUCUUAGUGCCGAAGCUAACGCAUUAAGUGUUCCGCCUGGGGGAGUACGACCGCAAGGGUUGAAACUCAAAGGAAAUUUGACGGGGACCCGCACAAGCGGUGGCAGCAUGUGGUUUAAUUCGAAGCAACGCGAAGAACCUUACCAGGUCUUGACAUCCUUUGAAGCUUUUAGAGAUAGAAGUGUUCUCUUCGGAGACAAAGUGACAGGUGGUGCAUGGUCGUCGUCAGCUCGUGUCGUGAGAUGUUGGGUUAAGUCCCGCAACGAGCGCAACCCUUAUUGUUAGUUGCCAGCAUUCAGAUGGGCACUCUAGCGAGACUGCCGGUGACAAACCGGAGGAAGGCGGGGACGACGUCAGAUCAUCAUGCCCCUUAUGACCUGGGCUACACACGUGCUACAAUGGCGUAUACAACGAGUUGCCAACCCGCGAGGGUGAGCUAAUCUCUUAAAGUACGUCUCAGUUCGGAUUGUAGUCUGCAACUCGACUACAUGAAGUCGGAAUCGCUAGUAAUCGCGGAUCAGCACGCCGCGGUGAAUACGUUCCCGGGUCUUGUACACACCGCCCGUCACACCAUGGGAGUUUGUAAUGCCCAAAGCCGGUGGCCUAACCUUUUAGGAAGGAGCCGUCUAAGGCAG